GUGUUUUUCUCACCAGUAAGCAGAACGUCCGUAAGCGGCGCGUGACUGUGGCCAGAUGGAAGAGGUUUGCAAGGACUGACCUGAGUAUUCUUCACUCGAAAGGACAGACACGAUAAUAGAGACAGACGAUCAUGCAAGGAGGAAGGCAAGAACAAGAAAGGAAAGCCUGACAGGAGGGACGUGGAGUUUGAAGUCUGAGAAGUGAAGCAGGAUGAGGGUCUUAUCGGUGCUGUCUUUGCUCUCCUGUCCAGGUGAGUACCCAGGAAAUGACAUACAGUACAUCCACUCAUAUCAAUUACCUGCAUGUAAUCCUUCUGAAAUCCUAUUCUGCUAGGAGUGCAAAUACCGCUCAAUAUCAUACAACCGAUAAAAUCAUAGACUCUACUCUGUCUGCUCCCAGUGCACAGCAUUCCAAAACCCUUGUGUGUACUUGCAUACAUGUGUUCAGGGAGGACAAACUCACCACAUUUGAACCACGUGGAUGUAUUAGGGGAAGGGGGGGGGGGGGACGUGCAGUUCGCUGAGUGAUCACGUGGGGGAUCACAGCGCAGGUUAAAAUGCAGAAUCAUGUUUUGGUUUUCCGGCUCCGAUGACGUUGACUGUGUUCUGUUACAAUUAUAUAGUAUAGAUUGCAUAGUUGUAUUUGUUGUUUGGUUGUGGUUAAGUGAUAAGCUAGCUCAAAAUACUUUUAAUUUUAUAUUUUCCAUUGAGGCUAAUGUUAUUGUUUACUUGCUGAAUGAGAAAUGUGUUUUAUUAAUAAUGCCGUUUGAGUUAGACACCUCAGUCCAAAUCCGAAAUCUCCUACAUCCAUUAUUAUUUCGUUUAGUCAUUGUGAAUCAAUAAUAUGAAUGUCUGUAUGAAUUUAGCACAGAUAAGCUAUGGAUUCCAUUAUCACAUUGAUUCACUUUUGUUAUUGAGGUCUCGAUAUUGAGCUCUCCGCCAGCUCACCAAAACUGUGUUUGACCUCUGUCAGAGAGACCCUUGAGUUCAGUCAAGUGUUGUCUCAGUAGCUUUCUCAGCAUUCAUUGCCACUGCCAGCUCGGUGACAGCAUUGGCCUCCAGGGGACUCAUUGUUGGCAAGUUUAUUAUUCCUUGGAUUCAGAAGUGGGGCCACACCAUCUAAAAGCAAACAAAUAGUCAGGGGAGGAUUACAUAAGAGCACUUUGUAGGUAGACGUCUGCCAAGGCCAAGCAAUAAUGACAGAUAGAUUCCUCCUCCUGCGGUUAGCAUUUUGUACAAAAAGGUUUGCUGUGAUGAUUGUAAUUAUGUACGUAUGGCUGCACAUACAUUUAGUGAAUUAAAUGGGAAGUUACGGCCAUGUGGUUUGUUUAAGUGGUAUUGCUGUACAAUCUCUGAUGGGGAUUUAGUACUUGUGCACCUUUAGUCAGCACAGCAUUGAUUACCUCACCUGUUUAGCAUACAGUAUACAAUGUAACAAGCUGUAAGCCCUUUCAUCCCAAAGUUGUGUUUCAAUGACUGAGUAAGUAGCGACACACCGUGAAUGUGUCCGUUUUUAGUCUUAGCAAGACUCACUAGUUUUGCAUGCAUCAUCGUUCUCAAACACGCUUAUCACGGAUGACCCUCCCCUCUUCCUUCACUUUCUUGUUCUUACAGUAUUAGAGAUAGUGAUGGAAACAAACCUGCGUCAGGUUUAACCACUGAAAUAAUUCUGUAAAGUUGAAUGCUGUGAUAUUUCAAAACCAAAAAGGGGUACACUCCAUCCAUUUUGGUUAGCAUAUUGUGCAGGGAGAUUUCACCCCUGGUACUCUGGUUGGCAAUCACUCAUCUACUAUUCAAACUCCACAAGCCAAUGCUAGUUUUCUACCAUGUUUCACCACAGGAGAAGUCUUAUUUCAUUUGGCCUAUUGAGCUUCGCGGGGGAGGUUUCACAUUUACAUUCAUGCGUCGACAUACUGGCACACACAUCCCAAUGAAAAAAAGGAAACAAGACAUCAUUUCUGUUAGGUUCGGAACAGAACCAAAUGAUAUUUUUGGAUCCAAGAAAUGCAGGCUCAGACAAAAUGCAACAACAAAAAUAUUUAUUUACAGAAAAGCCGCAUCG